AUUGAACGCUGGCGGCAGGCCUAACACAUGCAAGUCGAGCGGAUGAAGGGAGCUUGCUCCUGGAUUCGGCGGCGGACGGGUGAGUAAUGCCUAGGAAUCUGCCUGGUAGUGGGGGAUAACGUCCGGAAACGGGCGCUAAUACCGCAUACGUCCUGAGGGAGAAAGUGGGGGAUCUUCGGACCUCACGCUAUCAGAUGAGCCUAGGUCGGAUUAGCUAGUUGGUGGGGUAAAGGCCUACCAAGGCGACGAUCCGUAACUGGUCUGAGAGGAUGAUCAGUCACACUGGAACUGAGACACGGUCCAGACUCCUACGGGAGGCAGCAGUGGGGAAUAUUGGACAAAGGGCGAAAGCCUGAUCCAGCCAUGCCGCGUGUGUGAAGAAGGUCUUCGGAUUGUAAAGCACUUUAAGUUGGGAGGAAGGGCAGUAAGUUAAUACCUUGCUGUUUUGACGUUACCAACAGAAUAAGCACCGGCUAACUUCGUG
rnacentral:rRNA from 1 species